rnacentral:rRNA from 1 species
ACUUAAAUUGAAGAGUUUGAUCAUGGCUCAGAUUGAACGCUGGCGGCAGGCCUAACACAUGCAAGUCGAGCGGUAGCACAGAGAGCUUGCUCUCGGGUGACGAGCGGCGGACGGGUGAGUAAUGUCUGGGAAACUGCCUGAUGGAGGGGGAUAACUACUGGAAACGGUAGCUAAUACCGCAUAAUGUCGCAAGACCAAAGUGGGGGACCUUCGGGCCUCAUGCCAUCAGAUGUGCCCAGAUGGGAUUAGCUAGUAGGUGGGGUAACGGCUCACCUAGGCGACGAUCCCUAGCUGGUCUGAGAGGAUGACCAGCCACACUGGAACUGAGACACGGUCCAGACUCCUACGGGAGGCAGCAGUGGGGAAUAUUGCACAAUGGGCGCAAGCCUGAUGCAGCCAUGCCGCGUGUGUGAAGAAGGCCUUCGGGUUGUAAAGCACUUUCAGCGGGGAGGAAGGCGGUGAGGUUAAUAACCUCAUCGAUUGACGUUACCCGCAGAAGAAGCACCGGCUAACUCCGUGCCAGCAGCCGCGGUAAUACGGAGGGUGCAAGCGUUAAUCGAAAUUACUGGGCGUAAAGCGCACGCAGGCGGUCUGUCAAGUCGGAUGUGAAAUCCCCGGGCUCAACCUGGGAACUGCAUUCGAAACUGGCAGGCUAGAGUCUUGUAGAGGGGGGUAGAAUUCCAGGUGUAGCGGUGAAAUGCGUAGAGAUCUGGAGGAAUACCGGUGGCGAAGGCGGCCCCCUGGACAAAGACUGACGCUCAGGUGCGAAAGCGUGGGGAGCAAACAGGAUUAGAUACCCUGGUAGUCCACGCCGUAAACGAUGUCGAUUUGGAGGUUGUGCCCUUGAGGCGUGGCUUCCGGAGCUAACGCGUUAAAUCGACCGCCUGGGGAGUACGGCCGCAAGGUUAAAACUCAAAUGAAUUGACGGGGGCCCGCACAAGCGGUGGAGCAUGUGGUUUAAUUCGAUGCAACGCGAAGAACCUUACCUGGUCUUGACAUCCACAGAACUUUCCAGAGAUGGAUUGGUGCCUUCGGGAACUGUGAGACAGGUGCUGCAUGGCUGUCGUCAGCUCGUGUUGUGAAAUGUUGGGUUAAGUCCCGCAACGAGCGCAACCCUUAUCCUUUGUUGCCAGCGGUUAGGCCGGGAACUCAAAGGAGACUGCCAGUGAUAAACUGGAGGAAGGUGGGGAUGACGUCAAGUCAUCAUGGCCCUUACGACCAGGGCUACACACGUGCUACAAUGGCAUAUACAAAGAGAAGCGACCUCGCGAGAGCAAGCGGACCUCAUAAAGUAUGUCGUAGUCCGGAUUGGAGUCUGCAACUCGACUCCAUGAAGUCGGAAUCGCUAGUAAUCGUAGAUCAGAAUGCUACGGUGAAUACGUUCCCGGGCCUUGUACACACCGCCCGUCACACCAUGGGAGUGGGUUGCAAAAGAAGUAGGUAGCUUAACCUUCGGGAGGGCGCUUACCACUUUGUGAUUCAUGACUGGGGUGAAGUCGUAACAAGGUAACCGUAGGGGAACCUGCGGUUGGAUCACCUCCUUACCUUAAAGAA